CAGCCGCCGCGGUAAUACAGAGGGUGCAAGCGUUAAUCGCAAUUACUGGGCGUAAAGCGCGCGUAGGUGGUUUGUUAAGUUGGAUGUGAAAGCCCCGGGCUCAACCUGGGAACUGCAUCCAAAACUGGCAAGCUAGAGUACGGUAGAGGGUGGUGGAAUUUCCUGUGUAGCGGUGAAAUGCGUAGAUAUAGGAAGGAACACCAGUGGCGAAGGCGACCACCUGGACUGAUACUGACACUGAGGUACGAAAGCAUGGGGAGCAAACAGGAUUAGAUACCCGAGUAGUCCCUGUCUCUUAUAA
rnacentral:rRNA from 1 species